rnacentral:lncRNA from 1 species
CACCCAAGUCACAGCUGACUCAUGCCAUUGCUCUUUGUAAUGAGAUUCUGAACCUGCCACAGGACCAGCUCCUUUGGUGAGCGAAGUGUGUGAGCGAAGGAAAGAUUCUUGGGUAGAACUUCAUAAAGUCUGUCAUAAGAUCAGCCCCAGAGGAGGAGACUUUUCAGAUCCCAUCCCUCAUACACAUUCAGAAGGCCAAGGAAACACCCUCAGGAUUGAACUAUGAUAAAGAAGGCUUUUGGACUUGGACCUCAUCCAAGGAGCUGGCUGCCUGCACUUUCACAGACCGUCAGCUUCAUCCCCAGGCCCCAAAUCCUGAAUUUGCCGUGUCAAUGAAAAACCAUCAUCAGCUUUUCUUUACAUUAAAAACUGAUUGUGAUCAUAGCAGUUUUUCCUGUUUUCUGGGAUCACUGCUGCGAAGAGGAAAAGUCACCAGAGGAUAAAAUGACACACACGCAAACUCUUCUGUGGCUGAAAUUCCCCUCACUCUUCCUGCCUCUAACCGAAAAGGAGGAUACAGACCAAGGAGCACUUCAUGAAGGAAAACCAAGGCCCAAGUCAUACAGCUAGUAAAAGGAGGAGCCACAAUUCAAACCAGGACUGAUUUCAAAAUUCGCAUUCCUUCCACUAUGCCAUGGAAAGUACAGUAGGGUGUUUUUAUGUCAACUGCAGCCAGACACAUCAAUUUUCUCCUCUGAGAGGACAGGAUAUAAAUCUGAAGAAACAAUGUAUAUGAAAAUAUGCUCUAUGCUAUAAGGCAAGAUUUAUAUGUAAGUCAGACAUAGCAGCACCAAGAGACAAAACAGACAGUGUUCACUAGGACGAACAAGCGGCUCAAAAGGCACUGGAGUUUCCCUGUAAGAACUACAAACACCACGGGAGUGAUGUUAACUCAGAUUUUUCCAUAUAAAAGAUUCUUCCUGUAAAAA